rnacentral:rRNA from 1 species
UACAGAGGUCCCAAGCGUUGUUCGGAUUCAUUGGGCGUAAAGGGUGCGUAGGCGGCGCGGUAAGUCGGGUGUGAAAUCUCGGAGCUUAACUCCGAAACUGCAUUCGAUACUGCCGUGCUUGAGGACUGGGGAGGAGACUGGAAUUUACGGUGUAGCGGUGAAAUGCGUAGAUAUCGUAAGGAAGACCAGUGGCGAAGGCGGGUCUCUGGACAGUUCCUGACGCUGAGGCACGAAGGCCAGGGGAGCAAACGGG